UACGAAGGGGACUAGCGUUGUUCGGAAUUACUGGGCGUAAAGCGCACGUAGGCGGAUUGUUAAGUGAGGGGUGAAAGCCCAGGGCUCAACCCUGGAACUGCCUCUCAUACUGGCAAUCUUGAGUUCGGAAGGAGGUAAGUGGAAUUGCGAGUGUAGAGGUGAAAUUCGUAGAUAUUCGCAGGAACACCAGUGGCGAAGGCGGCUUACUGGUCCGGAAACUGACGCCUGAGGUGACGAAAGCGUGG
rnacentral:rRNA from 1 species